rnacentral:rRNA from 1 species
UGGGGAAUUUUGGACAAUGGGGGCAACCCUGAUCCAGCAAUGCCGCGUGUGUGAAGAAGGCCUUCGGGUUGUAAAGCACUUUUGUCCGGAAAGAAAACGCCGUGGUUAAUACCCGUGGCGGAUGACGGUACCGGAAGAAUAAGCCNCGGCUAACUACGUGCCAGCAGCCGCGGUAAUACGUAGGGUGCAAGCGUUAAUCGGAAUUACUGGGCGUAAAGCGUGCGCAGGCGGUCCGCUAAGACAGAUGUGAAAUCCCCGGGCUUAACCUGGGAACUGCAUUUGUGACUGGCGGGCUAGAGUAUGGCAGAGGGGGGUAGAAUUCCACGUGUAGCAGUGAAAUGCGUAGAGAUGUGGAGGAAUACCGAUGGCGAAGGCAGCCCCCUGGGCCAAUACUGACGCUCAUGCACGAAAGCGUGGGGAGCAAACAGGA